CAGUUACUCCCUCUGUCUCAAAUUUCUUGUCUUAGAUUUGUCUAGAUACGGAUGUAUCUAAUACUAAAAUGUGACUUGAUACAUCCGUAUCUAGACAAAUCUAAGACAAGAAUUUUGGGACGAAGGGAGUACUUU
rnacentral:pre_miRNA from 1 species